UUUUUCUCUCUCAAUCUCUCCCUCUUUCACUUAAUUUCUUUUUUUUUCUCACUCAUUUUUCUAAUGGGCAAUUUUAUGUGUGCAGAGGGCGAAAAAGCUGA
rnacentral:ribozyme from 1 species